rnacentral:rRNA from 1 species
AGGGCGCGUGGGGAUUGUGGACAUGGGCGCAGCCUGAUCCAGCAAUGCCGCGUGCAGGAUGAAGGCCUUCGGGUUGUAAACUGCUUUUGUACGGAACGAAACGGUGAGCUCUAAUACAGUUUGCUAAUGACGGUACCGUAAGAAUAAGCACCGGCUAACUACGUGCCAGCAGCCGCGGUAAU